UGCGGAGGAUCAUUAAUGAAACGCUACGUCUGGGAAAGGUUGUCGCUGGCCUCUCUUGGCAUGUGCACGUCUUGACCGGACGUUUAUGUCCUCCUUCACACCUGUGCACCAACUGUAGCUAGGGAUGAUCACGGAGCCCGUCGGGUUCCGAAUGCCCUCGCUAUGAAUGUUUUUGCACCCCCCCUAUAAUAAAGUUUUUUUGGAAUGUUUUGCAAGCGUGUAACAGCGCGAAUGAAAUACAACUUUCAGCAACGGAUCUCUUGGCUCUCGCAUCGAUGAAGAACGCAGCGAAAUGCGAUAAGUAAUGUGAAUUGCAGAAUUCAGUGAAUCAUCGAAUCUUUGAACGCACCUUGCGCUCCUUGGUAUUCCGAGGAGCAUGCCUGUUUGAGUGUCACGAAAUUAUCAACUGCUUUGGCUUUGUUUCGAAGCGAAGUUGGAUUUGGAGUGUUUGCUGGCGCGUUCGGCUCCUCCCAAAAGUAUGAAUCCCUCUUCUCGGGCGGAAAGUAUCUUUGAUGUGAUAAUUAUCUACGUCGCGGAGAAAGCCUUGAGCGAGAGCGGCUUGCUUGGAAAAGGGGGCCGUUACAAAUGAUGGGACCCCCCUUCCGUUUGACCAAUUCGACCUCAAAUCAGGCAGGACUACCCGCUGAACUUAAGCAUAUCAAUAAGCGGAGGAAAAGAAACUAACAAGGAUUCCCCUAGUAACUGCGAGUGAAGCGGGAAAAGCUCAAAUUUGAAAUCUGGCGUGCCUCCGGUCGUCCGAGUGU
rnacentral:rRNA from 1 species